GAAUGCUUAAAGUUGCAAAGGUCGUCAUGUCAGUGGACACAGCGUAAGACUGCACAGGAGCCACGUCUCAAAAUUUGUUUCAGGUCAGUCAAACAACACUUGAUGCAUUUGUUUCAACCGUUGGCAUGGCAUUGUGGUCAGGACUCCUCACUGUUCCCUCCAAGCGUCGAGCCCUGCUAGCCACAGUGGUAUUUACUGGUGUUGCAGUUGGCGGAUACAUCUACCUAAGGAGAAAGUUGAGCACUUCUGGAGAUGGAACGAGGAGAAUCUAGGAUGAUGUAGCAUCGGCUCUUUGACCAUGUAUUCAUUGUUCAAGGGACUGUCCUACGAAGAAUGCUGAACUGGACUGCAUGAGCCACAUCGAAUAUGCAUCGUGCAUCAUGCAAGAUUUGACUCUGACAGGUGGAUGGGCGAAUAUAGUCAGUAAAAUGUGAAUACAUGUACAUGAAUAUUGUUUUGCGUUGUCAGGGGUACUUCAGCACCCGGUUCUGCUGUGCACGAACGGUGGGUUGUCAGUCUCGCACCUACACCAUGUACACUGUUGAAAGGCACACUGAACUUUUGUAGACAUUGAGAUGAAAAAAUUACUCCAGUGCAUAAUCAUUUUGAUGCAUAGACAAAUGCUUAGUAAGGAAUGUCAUGAAUAUGUAUUUCGUUUCUUAACAUCACGAGUGUAAUUCUCACGAAGUUAUAGGGCAUGUUAAGUAGGGUACAUCACAAUGUUAACUUAACUGCUUAUGAAGAACAAAAUGUGGAAAAACAAAUGUGACUAAUACGGGCAAAUCACAAGAAAGCGCCUCCAAGAGUUUGCAAUGCGUUGGCCAAUCACAUCGCGUGAAAUUUGUCCACCCCUUCCAGGUGCGAAUUGGGUAUUGGAAUUAUAUAGAUUUCGCGUAUUGUGAUUAGCCAACGCAUUGCAAAGUCUUGGAGGCGCACUAUUGUGAAAUGCCCGUAUUAUUUAGGAUUUGGUAGCAAAUUAUAAACACCUGCAAUUCCGACAAAAAUAAUAAACACUCAUCAGUCAAAGUUUCUUCAGAUACAUGUAUGUGUAAAUAAAUAAACCUGUAUUAUAUCAAUAGUCAAUGUUAAAAACAGUGGCAAGAACACUAUAAUGAACAGUAAGAAUUUUGUCAACAUUUACACAAUAUAAGUCAAAGAAUUUCCAACAUAAUCAUAUAAUGAUUUGGUGUAUUCCAGUGCAGUGGAGACAGUCUUGUCCCCAUCAUUUUGUAUGACUAAACAACCAACUUUCUCUAGUCCAAUUAACAAAUAUCUGUGCAUUGUGUGGAUCCCAUAGUGUAAGGGAGCAUCUCAAAAGCUACAAUACCAAGCAACGUUUCAAUGAGAACACUGCUUGAUCCAAUUGGGAACACUCCAUGUUCCUCCUUAAAACUGCGCUUGUUCCCAAAUAAGAACAGUGGCCUGUGUGUGUACAUGCAAACUCAGGAACGAUGUUCAUGUAUUGCAAAUGGGAAUACAACAAAUUUUCAUAAAAGCGUCCCAGAGUGUACAGGAAGAUUCUGACUAUUGAACAUAAGUCACAGACCAGGAGGGAACAUUUAACAUAAAGGCCAUGUCUGAAACGGGCUUCCAGACCUACGGCUAGGUAUAUUGUCUCCAUUUAUUUCCAAUGGAGUGAAGACCUAGACCUAGCUCUGAACAGAUAUGAACUCCCUCUGUUUAUUUCUGCAUUUCCACAACGGAAAUGAACGGUAAUACAAAAUGGACAAGGUCACCUCCAAGCACAUUUGGCUUAAGAAAUGCACUCAAUCAUGCUUUCCAAACGGGUGUUGUACACAUACACUCUAUAAAAUAGGGCCAUUCAGUAAUACAUGCAACGCUAACAUGUAAUGUGAAUGUUGAAGAACAUACACAUUGGUUAUGUACCAGAUUGUUUUAGAUAACUAGGUUAUUGUCUCACUCAAACAAUUGGAAUCCCUUAGAUCUUUUUAUUUAUAUAUAAAUGUACUUUAUGGUUAUCUUUACUCUGUUAUACAUGUACAUCUUCAUUAAAACAAAAAUGAACAAAAUCCAACACUUUGCAGUGAGUUUCUUUGUACAUGCCUCUUGCCAGGUCAUGCCAGCUAGACCCUGUGGUAGCCAAGCAGUCAAAACUGUAAAAACAAGCAAAAGUGGUUCGGGUUUUCCAUCCAAUAGUGUGUGAAAAAACCCAAAUGUAGCCACAUUCAGAAAAAAAAGGCCAUUACAGGCUACAUUAAAAAAAUUUCGAAUCCUCCCCCCCAAAAAAACGUGUUGAUCUGCCUUUUAAAACCAGGUGUUGGCAUCCAGGAACACUGCAGAAGCCCACCCAUCUUGCACUUUCCAACAAACAAACAAACAACCCAACAAACAAAUAAUUUUUUCCAACCCAAUCUAUGACCAUUUUCGAAACAAGUGGACUUUGAAUUCGCUGUUUCCCUCCAUUUUGAAGAAGCGUUCAAAACCACAAGUUCGAGCACUGACUGGAACCAGCGAAACCGAAGUCUAAGCCGCAUCCACUUGUUUCGAAAACACUCGGUGGUAGUUGGUCCGCGUAUAUGUACACAUACGUCAAGGACAUCUUUGGUCGGUUUGGUGCAAUGGUGGUUACAACCUUGUUCAAAAUGAGUAAUGCCCUAGUUCAUACUUCUUGCAUAACAAAUACGGCUCACAGCGCUGAAGUGCAUUUCAAGGUGUGAUGCAACAGAGAAUCUGCAACUAACACAAAGUGCACUCCAUUCUAAUCACAUCAAUUCCACUGAACCCCCCCAAGUGGGAAUUUUUAUGGCUCAAAAUUUUAAAAGGAGUAAAAAUAUUAUCUAUACAACAAUUAAAUUCUGAGAAAAUUGAUGAGGGUACAUGAACACUUUACAUCCUACUUAAAGGUAGUGUGUUGAAAAUAAGAAAAUUAGUUAGCUGUAGUACGCAGUGGUCUUUAAUUUUGCGUCCUCUCGGAGUCCAGCUGACAUGUCUGUAUUUCACAAUUUAUCCAGAACCGUUGAAAACUUUGUUAAAUUAUUUAAAACAAAAGAAGUAUUUUGUCUGAUAAAAAUCCAAAAUAGUAAUACCAUUGCUUUGACUCUGCUAGGUUUCAAAACGCACCGACUGAAAUAUUCAAAGUGUCUCCAGUUUCGCGAGCAGGCCAUCAGAGUAGUUAAUCAAUAGUUAAACAUGUAUCCCAUGCUGAGUCCAGUCACACAAUACAGUCAGACGAACGGAAACAAAGGCAUUACCAGUAAUCACUAGUUUGUCUGGGCCCAAUACCGUAGAGCUGGUAACUGCGUUGAAGUCAGGACUUCUUAAGACCAUUACAAGACCAACACAAGACCUCCAGUCUGAAUUCAAAUCACAAGCUAUUUAAAUUGAAUGCAAC